AAUAUUGAACAAUGGGGCCACCCCUAAUCAGCCAAUCCGCGGGGUUUAAGGAGGUUUUUGGAAUGUUAAGGCCUUUAAGUUUGGAGGGAGGGGCUUAGGCCUAUUACCUUAAGGUUUGACGUUACCAAAAGAAUAAGCAACGGCUUACUUUUUUGCAGCAGCCGCGGUAAUACAGAGGGUGCAAGCGUUAAUUGGAAUUACUGGGCGUAAAGCGGGCGUAGGUGGUUCAGUAAGUUGGGUGUGAAAUCCCCGGGCUUAACCUGGGAACUGCUUUCAUAACUGCUGAGCUGAGGAACGGUAGAGGGUAGUGGAAUUUCCUGUGUAGCGGUAAAAUGCGUAGAUAUAGGAGGGAACACCAGUGGGAAAGGCGACUACCUGGACGGUUACUGACACUGAGGUGCAAAGCGUGGGGAGCAAACA
rnacentral:rRNA from 1 species